AGAGGGGAAAACAGUAAGGCAUGACACACGUCUAUCUUAAAAUGUGGUUUCCCUUCUUGCAAAUUAGCUCAUUUUGUCUAGACGUAGGUUUUUUCCAUGUCCACUCUAAGCAAUUGUGACUAGUUUUAGUUUGAAAAAGCUUUUUUCAUUUAUCUUGCUACAAUUUAACCCCUCAGGAGGUCUCAUAUCUGUCCAUUUUCUUUCAAUUUGCUGAUAGUCUUUCCCUAGCUCUUUCAAGUACUUCUCUGGUGGAGAGGGCCACGUGGCAAGGAACUGAAGGCACCCUUCAACCAACAGUUCGCUAGGAGUUGAGGCCCUCGGUCCAGCAGCACAGAAAGAACUUAAUCCUGUCCAAAAACCACUAUGCAAGCUUGGAAGUGGUUCCUGCCCUAGUGGAACCUUGAGAUGACUGCAGCCCUGGCUGACACCUUGCUAGCAGCCUUGUAAGAGACCUUGGGCAGAGGACCCAGCAAAGCUAUGCCUGGAUCCUAACCCAGAGGCUGGGAGGUGAUAAGUGAGUGUUGUUUUAAGCCACUGAGUUUUGGGAUAAUAUUAUGCAGCAAUAAAUAUCUCAUCCCCAUGGUAUGGUACAUAUACCUCUUUUUUUUCCUUUCUCAUAUCUCCUUUCCAAUUUUGGUCAUUUUUACCAUUACAGAUUUCUGCCUUUAUAUAUUGGGAUGAAAUCAGUUUUCCUGUGGGCCUAUUCAUUGAUCAUAGUUGAGUCCUUCACGGUCAGGCAGUCUUAAACAGCAAACAUAUAUCCCCUGAGUCUACUCUCCAGGCAAUCUUCCAUGCUCCUUCAAGUGUUCCUUAGUGGUUCCUUGGAUAAAAAUGUAUGUGGUGCCCAAGUUGAUGGAAAGAGCAAUCACCUCUAUGUCCUGAAUAGUUUCCUUGUCUGACAGCUGCUUACUCCAUAUAAAGCGAGGCUGGUGCAAUGCUCAGUAAAUGCUGGGUGCGGUUGUGAAGCCAUUCUGUAUUUGUGUAGGUGUACUUUUGGACUGCUACAUCUGUUUCAGUUUCGACUUGGGAGAUUCCUCUGGAUUGCUGCAAGAUUUCAGGAUCUUCUUUUCAUAUCCUAAUUUUUAUCACAAGCAUUUUAUCUUUUCC
rnacentral:lncRNA from 1 species